UACCGCACCGCACCCACCCCAGUUGGAGCGGGGAUGGGUACAACUUUGGCGGGUAGUAGGCGGUGUGGAUAUGAAAAUCCAUACCCGCCAUGGGUAGCGGGUAGGUGCUGGAUUGAAGCUCAUACCCGCUCCAUACCCGUCUGCCCCGCCCCGCAUCCAACCGCCCCUCUCCUACCAGCCCGCCUGUUUUAUACCUACAUGCUUUUUACUUUUAUUUUACAACUAUUGUACUAUACCCCAGAGUAACAAGCCCAUUUAUUUAUUUAGAUCAAAACCCUAGUUAGACACUCACGGCUCACGAGUCACGCCCCCGCCUCCGCCUCAGUCUCUAACUCUCUCUCUUCAAUUCACUCUUAUCUUUGUCUCUAACUCUCUCCUACUCUGGUAGUCUACUACUCUCUCCUACUCCUUCCGAUUGUAUGUAGAGCCGCAUCCCCGGAUCUCAUCUCUCACUUUGUAUGGUGGUGGUAUAUAUAAUCUUGAGGACGAGGUUGAAAAUAAAGAUAAUACAAGAUUGAAUAUGGGAGCGAAUGUUGUGUGUAUUGAUUGAGAUUGUGUAUUGCUUUUAAAUAAUUUUUGGAGACAUUAUUUUUUUGUCGUGUUUAUGUAAUGUACUAAUUUGAUUAAAUACGUUCUUGAAUUUUUUAUUUUAUUUUUAGUUGUAGAACUAUGAGAACAUUGAGAAAUAUGGUGCAAAUUGGAUCUUGGAUAUCUGCCAA